GAACGGUCGGCAGGCGAUCCGCGUCGGUCGCGCGAGGUGGUAUGGUUCCCCAGAGGCCGGUUCUUGUGCUGCCUACCCCUUCAGGGGAAGCGGGCCACUUGAUGUGUAAGCCUCCAUCCGGCGCCCUCCAACGGGCGCAGGAGGACAACGGAGCACCCCCCGCGUACCACCGAGCCUUCGUCGGUCGCGUGGCGCGCGGGGACGUGCGAUGCUCUCGGACCCAGCGAACGCCGUGGGCGAGGACUCACGUCCCAGUCCCGAUAGAAGCUUCGGUAUAAUGCAUGACGGCCGCUCCCGCCCCCCGACCGCCCCGGCGGCGCGUGGGCGAGGCGCGGCGUCGCGGAGGAAUGCUACCUGGU
rnacentral:misc_RNA from 1 species